rnacentral:tRNA from 1 species
AUGAUUAGUCCAAUGAAAGACGCCUGAUUUCGACUCAGUUAAACAUGGUUCGACUCCGUGAUCAUCU